CUUAUUUAGAGCGAGGGAGGGAAUGGGCCCGUCGAUCUCGCGGCAACCACACCGAUAACGGGUGUCCGGUGCCAAUUCCCACGGAACUCUGUUCCGGAAGAUGAGG
rnacentral:ncRNA from 1 species